rnacentral:lncRNA from 1 species
CUCUUCCUUCCGAGGCAGCGGCGGUGGAGAACGUAGUCUGUGCCCUCCACCCCGGGACGCCUGCGCCUCCCCGAUUUCGGCUCACAAGGUCCAGGUGACUCAGUCUGGUCCCCGAAGUGGACGCCUGACCGAACGGGAUGUAUCUAACAAAGGAGGCCAAAUGCAAAUGCUAAGGGGAAAGUCUGAGCAACGGUGGACACUGAACACUAUUGGACUGGGCUGAGACAUCAGUGUGUGUGUGUGUGUGUGUGUGUGUGAGAGAGAGAGAGAGAGAGAGAGAGAGAGAGAGAGAGAGAGACCUGAAGGAUUAGGGUUAGCAGGUCGAAAUGAAGAUGUCAUGUGGAGAGAAACACUCAGAGAGGGGACUCAGCUUUGGAAAGAGCCGUGUGGCUGCAGCACUGUGGGGUCAAGAGGGUGUGGCACAUCCCACGUGCUUCACACCAAGCUUGUUGCUCUCCAUGGGGAUGUGGAGCAUAGUUUUCUGACAUGGAUAGUAUGUCGAGCAAGAGACUGCUUUUCCCCGAGCUCCCAGACAUUACAGCUUACAAGAGCUUGGAACCCUGAGAAAAUUCUACUAUUGCACUUACCUUGUAGCAUCAAGCCAGCAGAUACUAAGGACAAAGAGUAGGCAAGCCAUUAUAGCACUGCAAAGUCCCCAGUCUGGAAGUUCCAGCUGUGCAGUUGAGCCAGAAGGAAUAAGCUAGCACGUGGGUAAGCAGCAGCACACUGAUGCUUGCUGUACCAGCCUGGCAGCCUGGCUAAAAAAGUGACCACUCCUAAUGAAGCAGAGAGGAGGAGUGGGGAAAUGAGCGGGGGGAGGGGGGCACAGGCUUUUCUCAUUCCAUCCACAUUAAAUUCAUAUCCUCUGAAAAAAAAUCUGGUACUCUGACCUAUUCAAAUUUGGAGAUAGAAGAACGUGGCUGAAGGAGAUGUAGGUCAAGGCCCUGCUAGUGCCUUCCCCAGGCAGAGUCCCCGUCAUUACUAUAGUUACUGCUUCUCCACCCAUCCUGAGCUUUUAGAGAAACUUGGCAGGUAAGAGAGGGCACUCGCUAGACAGGUCAUAAAAAUGUCUGUCUAAAUAAAUCAGCAGGCAUUCCUGAAUGCCCACAGGCACCACCCCUCCCCUCAGGCAAAUGCUGCCCUCUUUCCUGGGACAUGUGGAAGAAGUACCCUAAGAAGUAACCUUGGCAUUUGUUUUGCCCAGAUAUUAACAACACGUAUAUGUAACAAUAUGUACAUUUUAUAACAAAGGUUAUAUACAUAUUUGUGUCAGAAAGGAAAAAGAAGUUAUCUGCCAAGAAUGUUUACUCAGCACCCAAAGUGCCCCUGGUAUGACCUAGAGGAGCUUCCACAAUGUGACUUUCAACUGGGCAAAUAUCAAGCUCCCGGAAAAUCAACCUAUAGCAAUCAAAGGCUCAUUCCGAGAGUCUCUUGGCACUUCAGU